rnacentral:sRNA from 1 species
AUGUCCCCCUCGUACACGCGCUGCGGUUACUCAGCGCCGUCCGCACCCACCUGGCGAUUGCUCGUCAGGUUUUGUUAGCC